ACUGGGCAUGGUGGUGCAUGCCUGCAGUCCCAACUACUUGGGAAGCUGAGGCAGGAGGAUCACGGGAGUCCAGGAGUUUAGGGCCAUCCUGGGCAAUGGAGUGAGACCCUGUCUCCA
rnacentral:SRP_RNA from 1 species